rfam:Aedes albopictus isolate Foshan contig169185, whole genome shotgun sequence.
UAAACGGUCCUUUUCAGGACCACCGAAAAUCUUCCCUGAAGAGUUGG